GCCAGUGUGGCUCAGUGGUUGAGCGUCGAGCUAUGAACCAGGAGAUCAGGGUUCGAUUCCCGGCCAAGGGCA
rnacentral:tRNA from 1 species